CAUACCGAACACGGCAGUUAAGCUUCUCAGUGCCGAUGAUACUUGGAUGGCGACGUCCCGGGAAAGUAGGUCGCUGCCAGAU
rnacentral:rRNA from 1 species